rnacentral:rRNA from 1 species
CACUCCUGCGGGAGGCAGCAGUGGGGAAUUUUGGACAAUGGGCGAAAGCCUGAUCCAGCAAUGCCGCGUGUGUGAAGAAGGCCUUCGGGUUGUAAAGCACUUUUGUCCGGAAAGAAAUCCUUGGCUCUAAUACAGUCGGGGGAUGACGGUACCGGAAGAAUAAGCACCGGCUAACUACGUGCCAGCAGCCGCGGUAAUACGUAGGGUGCGAGCGUUAAUCGGAAUUACUGGGCGUAAAGCGUGCGCAGGCGGUUUGCUAAGACCGAUGUGAAAUCCCCGGGCUCAACCUGGGAACUGCAUUGGUGACUGGCAGGCUAGAGUAUGGCAGAGGGGGGUAGAAUUCCACGUGUAGCAGUGAAAUGCGUAGAGAUGUGGAGGAAUACCGAUGGCGAAGGCAGCCCCCUGGGCCAAUACUGACGCUCAUGCACGAAAGCGUGGGGAGCAAACAGGAUUAGAAACCCGUGUAGUCCC